CCAAUAGCGUAUAUUAAAGUUGUUGCAGUUAAAAAGCUCGUAGUUGAAUUUCGGGAUCAAUAUGUUGGUCGUGCCUUUGGUACGUACUAGCUUAUUGAUUUCUCCCUUCUGACGAACCAUGAUGUCAUUAAUUUGGUGUCAUGGGGAAUCAGGACUGUUACUUUGAAAAAAUUAGAGUGUUUAAAGCAGGCUCACGCUUGAAUACAUUAGCAUGGAAUAAUGAAAUAGGACGUUUGAUUCUAUUUUGUUGGUUUCUAGGAUCGACGUAAUGAUUAAUAGGGAUAGUUGGGGGCAUUAGUAUUCAAUUGUCAGAGGUGAAGUUCUUGGAUUUAUUGAAGACUAACUACUGCGAAAGCAUUUGCCAAGGAUGUUUUCAUUAAUCAAGAACGAAAGUUAGGGGAUCGAAGACGAUCAGAUACCGUCGUAGUCUUAACCAUAAACUAUGCCGACUAGGGAUCGGAUGAUGUUAAUUUUUUAAUGACUCAUUCGGCGCCUUACG
rnacentral:rRNA from 1 species